rnacentral:rRNA from 1 species
AACGAACGCUGGCGGCAGGCCUAACACAUGCAAGUCGAGCGAAGCCUUCGGGCUUAGCGGCGGACGGGUGAGUAACGCGUGGGAACGUGCCCUUUGGUACGGAAUAGCCCCGGGAAACUGGGAGUAAUACCGUAUGUGGUCGAGAGACGAAAGAUUUAUCGCCAAAGGAUCGGCCCGCGUUGGAUUAGGUAGUUGGUGGGGUAAUGGCCUACCAAGCCGACGAACCAUAGCUGGUUUGAGAGGAUGAUCAGGCACACUGGGACUGAGACACGGCCCAGACUCCUACGGGAGGCAGCAGUGGGGAAUCUUAGACAAUGGGGGAAACCCUGAUCUAGCCAUGCCGCGUGAUCGAUGAAGGCCUUAGGGUCGUAAAGAUCUUUCAGUGGGGAAGAUAAUGACUGUACCCACAGAAGAAGCCCCGGCUAACUCCGUGCCAGCCGCCGCGGUAACAC